rnacentral:rRNA from 1 species
CAAUAGCGUAUAUUAAAGUUGUUGCAGUUAAAAAGCUCGUAGUUGGAUUUCUGUUCUCGGGGAUUGGUCCGCCUCACGGUGAGCACUGGUAUCCUGGGGACAUCCUCUCGAAGGCGGGUGGUGCACUUAAUUGUGUGCUGCUUGGAUUCGGGACCUUUACUUUGAAAAAAUUAGAGUGUUCAAAGCAGGCCUAUGCUCUGAAUAGGUUAGCAUGGAAUAAUAGAAUAGGACUUCGGUACUAUUUUGUUGGUUUCUAGGACCGAAGUAAUGAUUAAUAGGGACAGUUGGGGGCAUUCAUAUUCCAUUGUCAGAGGUGAAAUUCUUGGAUUAACGGAAGAUGAACUACUGCGAAAGCAUCUGCCAAGGAUGUUUUCAUUGAUCAAGAACGAAAGUUAGGGGAUCGAAGACGAUCAGAUACCAU